AGAAGAGAAGAGGAAGAGAAGAGAACAACAAAAAGAAAAACAAAAAGAACAACAAAAAGAAUCCCACAAGUGAUGUGAAGGGAACCAAUCACCGUCCCUCAAGGGCAGCUUGAUGCCCAGCCAGUUCCUUAGCAAAAGAUGGGAAAGCUCCCCAAACUCCCUCCCCUCCAUUUUACUGCAGAGCACAAUGUUAGAUGGCAUGGAAUAGCUCUUUGGUUGGCUUGAAUUAUCUGCCUGGUUAUUUCUGCUCUCGGCACCUUGUGUACCUCCCGUGAAUUCAUAGAGUGGGAAAGCGAGAGGGCCUUGACACUGUGCGAAAUGUUCAGUAACAGCUAAAACAUUGGUGUGAUAUCAGCAUUGCUGUGGUCAUAAAUCUAAACCACAGCUUCAUAUGAGCUGCUAUAAGGAAAAUUAACUCCAACCCAGACAGGCCUGGUACAGCACUCUUCGAAAAGAAAAGGUUAACCCUGGGCUCUAUUAGGAAACAAUGAUUUCAACAGAAUUUACUAACUGUUCAUUAUUCUGUUACAUCAGUAUUUUUCCUCUGAGCAGUAGAAAAGGAUUUGAAUAAAAGAAAAGGCAAAGUAAACCCUCAUCCUCUUGGGACAAAAUGUUCCUGCUAUUUUCCUACUCUUUUACUUCAAAGCAAGAGUUUCAGGAGUAGCUACAGAACCGAGUAUUAUGAACCACAAGCAUACCUAAUGUUAUCCAACAUAAAGUGUGUCAGAAGAAAGUAAUCCAGGAAUGUUAGUCAUUGUUAUGCUGCGCGAGGGGAGUCAGACCACUGCUUGGUGCAAUACAUCACUCUGUGAACAAGCAACAGGCAGGCUCAGAAGUGAACUUGUCAAUCCAGGCUCUGCUUGAAGAUGUGAUUGAACAGGGGCUGGCACUGCUGUUUUUUGUUCUGGUUGGGUCAUAAUCCCCUAGAGAUCCAAAGCCUUUUGGCAGUGAUUCUUGAGUUUGGAGUGGUGCCUGUGUUCCCCAUUACCUGUCAAGGUGAACAUUGCAUUUGCAGUCUUAUCGUGACCUUUACUCAAGACAUGACUGCCCAAUAUGGGGGCAGGUGGGUUUUGGGUUUUGUGUCUUUCUUUUUUUAGUUUUGUAGAGUCUUCUUCAGCAAGACAUUUUUUCCAGGAUGUUCCCUUGAGCUUUUGUUGAAGGCUUUUAAAGGAUAGAAACUGAAUGGAGGAGAAGUGUGAACAUUUCUCACAAGAAAGUGUGUUGGGUUUUACAUAUGUGUGUUUCAGCACAUGUAUUUGUAUCAGAUUCAUAUCUGUGCUGCCAAUGAUGUUGAACAGCAAAUGGGAAAUUUGGCCCCUGUGCUGUUACAGUCCUGGGAACUGCUCAUGAUGCCAUCACAGAACUGAAGAACUGAACGCUGGCAAGAUUUGAUGCAUUUUGACACGUGGCUGAAGCUAACAGCCUCCUCUCUUCCCAUUUGGAACUCUGAGGAACCCUACUUCGCCAUCCCUUUCAGAUUGGAACCUAUUUGGCAUUGUGAGGCAGAUAAUGAAUAGUCUCCUAGCUCAAAGUUGAGCACUUGCUUUCGUCAGAGUUACAGCUGAAUCAGGGCUUUGCAAAGCAAUCUGAGUGUGCAUUGCUGUGGAGGAAGGCAGGCUUUGAAAUCUGACUGACUGAAUAGUUCAGUGCGAGAACAUCCAUCUGCCUCUGAAAGAGCCAUAAAUAGUGAUGAUGACAGUGAUGGAAACUGAGCUGCAUAACUUGGACACGAGGACUCUUUUGGUUCUGUUUCCUUCCUGUCUGUUCUUGAGGACAUGAGGGCUCAGAAAACCCCACGGUCUGAGACUCAACGUUGAUAAAAGGCUGACAAAUUAUUGCAAUGGUUCUGAAAUUUUUAAGAACUGAAAUGUCCUAAAAGUAUGCACACAGGAAGUAUUAAUGUAAAAAUCCCAGCUAUCAAGAGACUUGGACAUACGCAAGUAUCU